AUCUUGGUUUAUGUUUUGGAGUUAAAUAUAAAUUGAUGUCCUGUCUGUGGUUGAAUAUUAGAACUUGAACCGCAAACGGAUCUGAAAAGGAAAAGUAGUGUUUCCAUGCUAGAAGAUACAAAGCCAAAGACUCAUACGAACUUCGACAUCCCCAUCAAAGCCUUAGGA
rnacentral:sRNA from 1 species